UCCAGUGCAUGAGCCAUCUUAUCGAUCAUCUAAGCAUACCUAGUGAAGUGCUUGAAAGAAUAAGAACCAUGCCAAGAUGGACCAACUCAUGGGAAGCAAACGGGUCAAAGAGGAGGCAAAGAAACUAGCAUAAACAUGACGAGCACGAGGUAAAUCCUCAAUUCAGGCGACUUGGAGAAUCGGAGCGAGCGCGUGUUCAUGUUAUGUCAUACUAAACGCUUCCGCUAGCUUGUUCAAAUGUUUUUAGUCCAAAAUUUGUUGUAUUGGUUCUUAGUAGUAUUUUGUCGAAUGAAUCGUAGAAUUGUAUCUAGUUUGAUUAUGUUUAAAACAGGGGAAUGCUCGUUUUAUGGACGGGUCAUGCCCAAUUUUUGUUAAAUUAAUGCACCUGCGUUAUU
rnacentral:lncRNA from 1 species